AAGACUAUACUUUCAGGGAUCAUUUCUAUAGUUUGUUACUAGAGAAGUUUCUCUGAAUGUGUAGAGCACCGUUUAAUUUUUUAAAU
ensembl:snoRNA U3 Small nucleolar RNA U3